rnacentral:ncRNA from 1 species
GAAAGCUAGGGGAGCGAAUGGGAUUAGAUACUCCAGUAGUCCUAGUCGUAAACGAUGGAUACUAGACGCUGGCGUAUCGACUGGUGUAGUGCUGUAGCUAACGCGUUAAGUAUCC